ensembl:rRNA 5S_rRNA 5S ribosomal RNA
GCUUACGGCCAUACCACCCUGAACACGCCCGAUCUCGUCUGAUCUCGGAAGCUAAGCAGGGCCGGGCCUGGUCAGUACUUGGAUGGGAGACCGCCUGGGAAUACCAGGUGCUGUAAGCU